GGUGAUGGACAGAGAGGCCUGGCAUGCUGCAGUCCAUGGGGUCACAGAGAGUUGGAUAUGACUGAAUGACUGAACUGAACUGACUGUAUAUAUAUUUUGAUGUUAUAAUAUAUACCUGACUUUAAUCGUAUUUGCAUGCAAGUCUGAAAUAUUCUGAUACUAAAAGGCUUUAGUAAAACUAUACUCCUUUGUCCAGUCUACACUCCUGUUCCCCCACCCCAAUCCCAGUAGAAACCGUUUCUAACUUUUAUGCUGUUUUUACUAGUAGUUAUUGACAUUUUUAUAGGAUUGUAGUGCUCUUUUUUCAUCUGCUUUAAAGAUUUUCUAAACACCUUCUGUUAUAGGAGUUAAGGUGUGUCAUCACACACACACACACACACACAUGCACACGCAACUUCAUUUUCCUUCUUCAUCCCUUCCAUAUAAGGCUCUCCCAGCUUUGUUGGAGAGGGGAAGGCAUAAAUUCCCUGGAAGGUAUACCUUACUGCUGAAUAGGUUUCUGGUUUAGAAUAUCUCAAGAGAAAUUCCUGAAAGCAUGCAAGGAACACAAGUGCUAAUAAGUCAGUGCUUCCUACUCACAUGGAAGGUGUAAGACCAUCAGAAAGGAAGCCACGCACACACACUCACACGCACACACACACACGCGCACACACACACAUGCACACACACACACACAAAUGAAAGUCAGGGAUUGCAGGCUCUCUGGCCAUGCUGUGGACUGGGAUACGUGAAAGUCACACAAUAAGGACAUAGUUCUUUGGUGUUUGUGAGUCUUGACUGGAAGGCUCUGUGAUGUUUUAGAAUUUUGUGAUUUCCCAAGACACGUAAAGAACAGGCCUCACACUCAGUGUCCUUUGGGCUUAGGUGGUAUGCCCUGGACUGAUUCCUGCAACCGUAUUUCAUUUUUCUCAGUGAUUUCACAGGGUGGGUACCAUUCCCACUGCUCCAUGCGUGGAAAACUGAGUGAUAAAAGCAUUUAUUCAUGGUCACACGUUGAUUGGCGUGCAGACAGCCUUAGGUCAGCCCAGGUCUGUGUGGUACCUGUGUGCGUCACAUGCAUCAGUGGGGUGUCCCGUGCGUCAGUGGGGUGCCUGGGACACAGCCGUCUCGCCCUGCUUCCUGAUGGAGCUGACUGUCUGGUUCAGGGUAGCAAUGUGCUUACUUAAACGUACUGCCCUCCUUGGCUUCCCCUGCACCCGGAAUGGCUCACCUGGUUCAGAGCAGCGAGGGACAGGCUUCUUCCUCCAGGCUCUUUCUUUGCCUUCCAGGGCACCUGUAGCCUCUGCCUUGUGGUUUUGACCGUGAGAACCGUACACUUUGGCUGGCAGGACGGGAAACGGAGAUGCCCAGNNNNNNNNNNNNNNNNNNNNNNNNNNNNNNNNNNNNNNNNNNNNNNNNNNNNNNNNNNNNNNNNNNNNNNNNNNNNNNNNNNNNNNNNNNNNNNNNNNNCUGGCAGGACGGGAAACGGAGAUGCCCAGCUUCUGGAUGCCUUGAGUGGCGUUACCAGCCCUGAUCAACUUCCUUUUGAAUUUCUCGUUACCUGAGAAAAGUAAGUGACUCUGGUUAAGUCACUGAUGGCUGUUACGGGCUAAGCUGUGUCCCUCCAGAAUUCAUAGGUUGAAGCCUCCUCACCCCUUGGUACCUCAAAAUGUGACUGUAUUUGGAGAUAAGGCCUUUAAAGAGAUAAAUAAGGUUCAAAUGAAGCUGUUAGACCUAAUCCAAUCUGACUGUGUCCUUAUAAGAAGAGACAUCAGGACACAGGAGAGAAGGCAGGGGUAAGUGCUUGCCUGCAGAGGCAAGGCCUUGUGAGGACUCAGCAAGGAGGUGGCUGUCUUCACGCCAAGGAACGUUCCGAGAAAACAACCCUCAAUCUUGGACUUCCAGCCUUCAGAACUGUUAAAAAAUAAAUUUCUGUUGUUUAAGCCACCUAGUCUGGUAUUUUGUUGUUAUGGCAGCCCUAGCAAACGAAUAUAGUCGGGUUUGUUUUACAUGAAGCUGAAAGCAGUCCCACUGAUACAGAAACCAAAACAAAUAAAAGUAUGACAGAGCAAAAUCAUAUAAAUGACUCGGAUUACCCCGCUGUUUCUUUCCUUAUGAACGCUGUCUCCAUAGCGGUCCCGACGCUGCGCUCUGUUUGCUUGUUUAAAUUGCAGUGCCCCAGCCUCACACACGUCCCCCGCAGCCGCCCCGCACGCCUUCCUCAGGCCGAGGUUGCCUGCCCCGCAGCCGCCCGCACAGCUUCCUCAGGCCGAGGUUGCCUGCCCCGCAGCCGCCCCGCACGCCUUCCUCAGGCUGAGGUUGCCUGUCCCCCGCAGCCGCCCCG
ensembl:lncRNA